rnacentral:rRNA from 1 species
ACGGAAGGCAGCAGUGAGGAAUAUUGGUCAAUGGGCGGAAGCCUGAACCAGCCAAGUCGCGUGAAGGAUGAAGGUAUUAUGUAUUGUAAACUUCUUUAGCAGCAGAGUAAUAAGGGGGUCGUGACCCCCGAUGCAAGUAUGCUGAAAAUAGGGAUCGGCUAACUCCGUGCCAGCAGCCGCGGUAAUACGGAGGAUCCGAGCGUUAUCCGGAUUUAUUGGGUUUAAAGGGUGCGCAGGCGGUUUUUUAAGUCAGUGGUUAAAUCGUGAGGCUCAACCUCAUCACGCCAUUGAUACUGGAAGACUUGAUUGCGGUUGAGGUUGGCGGAAUUCGUCGUGUAGCGGUGAAAUGCAUAGAUAUGACGAAGAACACCGAUUGCGUAGGCAGCUGACCAAGCCGUAAAUGACGCUCAUGCACGAAAGUGCGGGGAUCGAACAGGAUUAGAUACCCUGGUA